rnacentral:lncRNA from 1 species
CCGCAUUCAUCUUCUGCCUUGUGCCCUUCUUCUGCGUCCUCCGUCAACUCUUCUCGUUCUCCUUCCCAUUUUCACUGACCUCCAUAAAAAUUCAAUCCCAUUUUCGACAAUUUUCACCCAUCACCUUCCCCAACAACCACGUGAUAAUAUUAUCAAUGACAUCUAUAAUAUUUUAAUCUCAUUUUCGAUAAUUUUUACCCAUUGUUAGAGCUGCUGAGGUCUUUACGAUUUGUUUGUCGGAAGAAAUGAACGGUGGUUGAUUUUAGUAUUGUCUUUUAUGAUUUUAAGAUGGAGUUCGAAAAUUGAAAACAAAGAUAACAGAAAAAAUAGAGAGAUGGGUGCUGCUCUG